rnacentral:rRNA from 1 species
UACGGAGGGUGCGAGCGUUAAUCGGAAUUACUGGGCGUAAAGCGCACGCAGGCGGUUUGUUAAGCUAGAUGUGAAAGCCCCGGGCUCAACCUGGGAUGGUCAUUUAGAACUGGCAGACUAGAGUCUUGGAGAGGGGAGUGGAAUUCCAGGUGUAGCGGUGAAAUGCGUAGAUAUCUGGAGGAACAUCAGUGGCGAAGGCGACUCCCUGGCCAAAGACUGACGCUCAUGUGCGAAAGUGUGGGUAGCGAACAGG